rnacentral:rRNA from 1 species
CCUACGGGAGGCAGCAGUGAGGAAUAUUGGUCAAUGGACGAGAGUCUGAACCAGCCAAGUAGCGUGAAGGAUGACUGCCCUAUGGGUUGUAAACUUCUUUUAUAUGGGAAUAAAAUGUUCCACGUGUGGGAUUUUGUAUGUACCAUAUGAAUAAGGAUCGGCUAACUCCGUGCCAGCAGCCGCGGUAAUACGGAGGAUCCGAGCGUUAUCCGGAUUUAUUGGGUUUAAAGGGAGCGUAGGUGGAUUGUUAAGUCAGUUGUGAAAGUUUGGGGCUCAACCGUAAAAUUGCAGUUGAUACUGGCAGUCUUGAGUACAGUAGAGGUGGGCGGAAUUCGAGGUGUAGCGGUGAAAUGCUUAGAUAUCACGAAGAACUCCGAUGGCGAAGGCAGUUCACUGGACUGCAACUGACACUGAGGCUCGAAAGUGUGGGUAUCAAACAGGAUUAGAUACCCUGGUAGUC